rnacentral:rRNA from 1 species
UACGUAGGUGGCAAGCGUUAUCCGGAUUUAUUGGGCGUAAAGGGAACGCAGGCGGUCUUUUAAGUCUGAUGUGAAAGCCUUCGGCUUAACCGGAGUAGUGCAUUGAAAACUGGGAGACUUGAGUGCAGAAGAGGAGAGUGGAACUCCAUGUGUAGCGGUGAAAUGCGUAGAUAUAUGGAGGAACACCAGUGGCGAAAGCGGCUCUCUGGUCUGUAACUGACGCUGAGGUUCGAAAGCGUGGGUAGCAAACAGG